CCAGUGGUGUGCGAUGCGUGUCAAAAUGCAGGCUUUUGCACUGUUUGUUUUUUGAGCCGCUCACAGGCCGUAGUAAGCAGGUGCUGCACAGGUGCCGUACAGGCCCGUGCUGAAUAUGCUGACUAACUGCCACUCACUCGGUAAAAUAAAAAAAUUAUCUUACUGCAUACAGUUUGUACUUUUCAUUGAUCCAAAUUUUUUUGAUCCUUUAUUCCCUUAUUAUAAAAUAUUCAAAUUAUUAAUAUCACUGACAAUAUUGUCUUGUUACACAUUCUUUGUGCCACUUAUUACUCUAUCGAAACCUGCGUUUCGGCCAAAUGGAAGACCUGUCCAAAGCCGCAGUGCCCAACCAGAGGAUGUUUAUUUUGUUGGUUGCGUGGCAGUACUUGUUUCAGAGUCAGUGUACCCGCCAUGGUAUUUUCCACUGAAUCCAGUCGUGUUUGGCUGUUGCUUUCGCUGCAGAGUGAAUGCAUAUUUUUAUUUUUGAACUCCUGGUUCCACCGUUUUGAGGAUAUUUUUUCGUUUUCGCUUUUCUGGAAUAAGUUAACUGCGAUAUCGCAAACAUGGCUAUCAGGCGAUGGACUGCUUCUGAAAGUCAAGAAGAUCUAAACAAGCCCGUUUGUCGCUCUUGUCGUCCUGUGCGAACCUACAAAGACGUUCGCUUGUUGAAGGACAUUCGGAAAACUUCAGUUUAGUCCGCUGUCUGCGCUGCAACCAUCCCUUCAUGCCAGGAAACCCCCUUUCAACGCACAGUCCGACGAUAAUCGUCUGUAUCCGGCCAGCCUCUUUGGUAUCGCAGAAGAUGAAAGAAACGAUGAAGUUACCCUAACCCAGCCUGCCAUGCAGAAGGCCGUAUCCGGAUGAAAACGUGAAGUUGAUGCCAAGAAAAACGAUAAGUCCCAUCGGAGCGACAAAUGGCCGCACUCCCAAGGCCCUGCGGAAUUCGCAACACGAGAAUCCGAUUCUUGACGAUAUCGUCCCUACCACAGAUGAUGCAGCCCUGCUCAAAAGUAAGAAAGAAGGCAAUGGACAGGAACUGCUGUCACGACGGCAUCGUCAAACCGCGCACACGAAAUCGUUGGACUGAAAAGCAGAAGAAACUGCGCGCGGUCGGCAGUAACCAGCAACAGCCACCAUCGGGAAUUAUGCAUAUUGAGCAUCCAAAUUGCAGUGGAGCGACAAAGGUGUAUUUCGACGGGCUUGGAUACAACGUGGCAAGCGGUGUACGGCUGUAGCGACGAUGAAUGCCCGGAAGAUGAAAGCCUUACAUUUUCGAUUACAUUUUCGACAAUAUUGUCAGACUUUUCUGGUUUGGUUGGUGAAGAAUUUUUUUUUGAAUUUCAUUAGCAGCGCGCCCAGUGGCUAGUAAGUCAAUAAAUCUGUUAUUUUAGAUUUCUAUCCAGAAUAUUGUUUUAUUUUUUCGUGUUGGGUUGUAUUUUCUAGGACGGUUUUUAAUUUGUUAAUUUUUGUUUGUUUUGUUUACUGAUGGAAUGCGGGUACGAUUGGUAAUAAAAAACUGAA